GACGAACGCUGGCGGCGUGCUUAACACAUGCAAGUCGAGCGAUGAAGCACCUUCGGGUGUGAAUUAGCGGCGAACGGGUGAGGAACACGUGAGAAAUCUGCCUUCAACACUGGGAUAACUCCGGGAAACCGGGGCUAAUACCGGAUAUGAAACCUGCGGGCAUCCGCGGGUUUGGAAAGUUUUUCGGUUGAAGAUGAUCUCGCGGCCUAUCAGCUUGUUGGUGAGGUAAUGGCUCACCAAGGCGACGACGGGUAGCCGGCCUGAGAGGGCGACCGGCCACACUGGGACUGAGACACGGCCCAGACUCCUACGGGAGGCAGCAGUGGGGAAUAUUGGGCAAUGGAGGAAACUCUGACCCAGCGACGCCGCGUGCGGGAUGAAGGCCUUCGGGUUGUAACCGCUUCAGCAGGGAAGAAGCGAAGUGACGGUACCUGCAGAAGAAGCACCGGCUAACUAUGUGCCAGC
rnacentral:rRNA from 1 species